rnacentral:rRNA from 1 species
UACAGAGGUCUCAAGCGUUGUUCGGAUUCAUUGGGCGUAAAGGGUGCGUAGGUGGCGCCAUAAGUCAGGUGUGAAAUCUCGGGGCUCAACCCCGAAACUGCAUUUGAUACUGUGGUGCUCGAGUACUGGAGAGGAGAUUGGAAUUUACGGUGUAGCAGUGAAAUGCGUAGAUAUCGUAGGAAGACCAGUGGCGAAAGGCGAAUCUCUGGACAGUUACUGACACUGAGGCACGAAGGCCAGGGGAGCAAAACGGGGAUAGAUACC